AUUGAACGCUGGCGGAAUGCUUUACACAUGCAAGUCGAGCGGCAGCGCGGGGCAACCUGGCGGCGAGCGGCGAACGGGUGAGUAAUGUAUCGGAACGUGUCCUGUCGUGGGGGAUAGCCCGGUGAAAACCGGAUUAAUACCACAUACGAUCGAGAGAUGAAAGCGGGGGACCGUAAGGCCUCGCGCGAUCGGAGCGGCCGAUGUCAGAUUAGGUAGUUGGUGGGGUAAAGGCCCACCAAGCCGACGAUCUGUAGCUGGUCUGAGAGGACGAGCAGCCACACUGGGACUGAGACACGGCCCAGACUCCUACGGGAGGCAGCAGUGGGGAAUUUUGGACAAUGGGCGAAAGCCUGAUCCAGCAAUGCCGCGUGCAGGAAGAAGGCCUUCGGGUUGUAAACUGCUUUUGUACGGAACGAAAAGGCUCUGGUUAAUACCUGGGGCUCAUGACGGUACCGUAAGAAUAAGCACCGGCUAACUACGUGCCAGCAGCCGCAGUAA
rnacentral:rRNA from 1 species